rnacentral:misc_RNA from 1 species
AACGCACAAUAGCACUUUGUUUUACACAAAGUAUACUUGCUUCAGCGUCACUUUUAAUCUUCUUUUAAAGAAGUGAGUGGGAGUUUUCAUUCAUCAUUUCUUUGAAGGCAUUGACUCUUUGCCAGGAUGAUUGAUUGAUUGAUUGAUUAUACCUGGCAGAAAGUUGAAAUACAAUCAUUGGUGGAUAGAACUUACUAACCUACCACCCCCAACUCUUCAAAGAUUGACCUGAAGUCAAGUAAGAUUACCCGCUGAACUUAA